rfam:Tetranychus urticae London genomic scaffold, scaffold_42
UGAUCUCAGAUCAGUGAGGUUACCCGCCGAAUUUAAGCAUAUAAUUCAGCGGAGGAAAAGAAAUCAAAUGAGAUUCCCUGAGUAACGGCGAGUGAAAAGGGAUGAGUCCGGCGCAAAGGUUUUCCAUUGAAAGGUGGAAAGCGGUGCUGCGUAAUGGCUAGAGUCACGAUUAUUUCAACUAAAUCUGCAAGUCCCUCUGACAAGGGCCCUCUUCCCAGAGACGGUUCUAGGCCGGUGGCAGAUCUUGGUUAAUGGAAUAUCGAUUACUGGCUUUAGUCGCGGAUAGAGUCAGAUUGCUUGAGAGUGCAAUCCAAAUUAGGAGGUAAACUCCUCCUAAGACUAAAUACGAUGGUAUAUCGAUAGCAAACAAGUACCGUGAGGGAAAGUUGCAAAGUACUUUGAAGAGAGAGUUCAAAAGGACGUGAAACCGCUUGUAGAGAAACGGAUAGAACCACGAAGUGUAGCUGAGAGGAGAACUCAGCUCCUCUUGUGUAUUGUUGCCUUUUUCUAUUCAGUGCUAAGAAUGCUUUACAGCGUUCCAAGAUCAGUAGGUUAAGGGGUAACUUUUAGCCUGCCCUUGGAUCUUGGUAUUGAUAGGAGGAGUGCAAUAUGUGCAUGAGGAGUGCAUUUUCUCAACUCUCGUGCUCAAACCACGACCAAUGUGAAGGAGAGUGCAAAACUCUUGUUCAAGUGAUAACAGCAAGGUGUACUAAACACACACCUAAUCAGCAUUUAGUUUUCACAGCUACUAAUAUUCCUUGCGUUGUUAGACUUAGCCUGUGAGCUAGUGUUGGCAACUGUUACCACAGUCACAUUGGAGAUGAAUCUCUGCUUAUGCAGGGUCAACAAUGCUUGUCAUCUGCUCUGACGAAUCCGACUAGUCUUUCGUUGAUGAUGUCUGUUUCUUCACCUGGUGUUGAAACAACUCAUGGAUUGGCUGGCUUUUGGUGGUUUGUUGGUAAAAGUGGCAAGCUUACGUUAACCUAGUGAUUCUGUGGUCAGUAGAUCGGUACUCUAUCCGACCCGUCUUGAAACACGGACCAAGGAGUCUAACAUGUAUGCAAGCUGAUCAGUCUUGUUUAGGCUUGAAAGGCGAAUUGAAAGAAAUUGAUAUGAUGUAUGCUUGUAAGAGUAUACCGCAAUAUCAGCCCGUGAUAUAUCCACUUUACCGAGAUUUUCGCGGAGCACUAGUAUAUAUGUUAGUACCCGAAAGAUGGUGAACUAAGCCCGGACAAGAUGAAGCCAGAGGAAACUCUGGUGGAGGUCUGUAGCGAUUCUGACGUGCAAAUCGAUCUUCAGAUCCGGGUUUAGGGGCGAAAGACUAAUCGAACCGUCUAGUAGCUGGUUUCUUCCGAAGUUUCCCUCAGGAUAGCUGGCACCAAUGGAAGUACCAGUAGCAUCCGGUAGAGCGAAUGAUUAGAGGUCUUGGGGCCGAAAUGGCCUCAACCUAUUCUCAAACUCCUAAUGGGUGCGAAGUUCAACUUGUUAAACUUUUAAAGCUGAACAUACUUUGUAUGAUGGUGCCCAGUGGGCCAUUUUUGGUAAGCAGAACUGGCGCUGUGGGAUGAACCAAACGUUAGGUUAAGGUGCCCGAUGCUGACGCUAAUGAGAUCCCAUGAAAGGUGUUGGUUGCUAAAGACAGCAGGACGGUGGCCAUGGAAGUUGGAAUCCGCUAAGGAGUGUGUAACAACUCACCUGCCGAAGCAACUAGCCCUGAAAAUGGAUGGCGCUCAAGCGUUGAACCUAUACCUAACCGUUAAGGCAAUCAUAUAUACAGUAAGUGACAAAAGUAUAAGACCACUUAAUUUUUGUGUGAUAGCGUCGAAGGUGUCUGACGUAAGUCAGCCUGGAGCUUUCACUAUUACAGAUCUUGGUGGUAGUAGCAAAUACUCAAGUGAGACCCUUGAGGACCAAUGUGGAGAAGGGUUCCAUGUGAACAGUAGUUGAACAUGGGUCAGUCGGUCCUAAGCGAUGGGGAGAAAUCCCUAACCAAAGUCCCAGAUACAAUUAUCAAGUUGACUGUGGUGUUUCGCGAAAGGGAAUCGGGUUAAUAUUCCCGAACCUGGCGUGGGAGAUUGCUUCUUCGGAAGUAAAUGCGGUAACGCAAACUAACAUGGAGAUGUUUCCAAAAGUCCUGGGAAGAGUUGUCUUUUCUUUGUAAGGUACCAAGUCCCUGGAAUCGGUUUAACCGGAGAUAGGGAUUCCGGUACCGUAAAGCACCGCGGCUCUUGCGGUGUCCAGUGCACUUUUGGAAACCCUUGAAAAUCUAUGUUAGAGAUUAUAACUUUCCCGCCAGACCGUACCCAUAUCCGCAGCAGGUCUCCAAGGUGAACAGCCUCUGGUCACUAGAAUAAUGUAGAUAAGGGAAGUCGGCAAAGCGGAUCCGUAACUUCGGGAUAAGGAUUGGCUCUGAAAACUGAGCUGGUCGGGCUGAAGUCAGAAGCAAGUACUGCAAAUACCGAGACUGGUUGAUGUUGGGUAACUAACUGAUGCCGGACUU